rnacentral:rRNA from 1 species
AUUGAACGCUGGCGGCAGGCCUAACACAUGCAAGUCGAACGGUAACAGGAAGCAGCUUGCUGCUUUGCUGACGAGUGGCGGACGGGUGAGUAAUGUCUGGGAAACUGCCUGAUGGAGGGGGAUAACUACUGGAAACGGUAGCUAAUACCGCAUAACGUCGCAAGACCAAAGAGGGGGACCUUAGGGCCUCUUGCCAUCGGAUGUGCCCAGAUGGGAUUAGCUAGUAGGUGGGGUAACGGCUCACCUAGGCGACGAUCCCUAGCUGGUCUGAGAGGAUGACCAGCCACACUGGAACUGAGACACGGUCCAGACUCCUACGGGGGGCAGCAGUGGGGAAUAUUGCACAAAGGGCGCAAGCCUGAUGCAGCCAUGCCGCGUGUAUGAAGAAGGCCUUCGGGUUGUAAAGUACUUUCAGCGGGGAGGAAGGGAGUAAAGUUAAUACCUUUGCUCAUUGACGUUACCCGCAGAAGAAGCACCGGCUAACUCCGUG